UGGCUGCUGAUGCCGCUGCCCCCCUAGGGCUCUGAGAAGUGUGUGGAGAAGGAAGGAGUUACCUCUGCUCCUGUCUGAGAGUGGAGAGAGUAGAUGGGGAAGUGCCAGGAAAAACUGGAAGGGGUCCUCCUUCUCAUCACUUCUUAGGCAUGGAGAGAUGAAGGACAGAUGGAGUACCGCACAAGGAUACAAUGGAGGAAGCAGGCCAUGACUAAGACCCCAAGGAUGAAGAAUGGAGAGCCCUGACCGUCCUCCUGGCCUCCAGUCAUUUCCCCACUGAAGAUGGCCGUACCCUCUAGCCUGGGAGGACCAUGGCCCAACAAUGGCAGUGGGAGAGAAGAUGACUCUGUGGAGGACACUCUCCGUUAUCUGUGAUGACAUACACCAGCCCCCGAACAAUUUAACCUCAAGCUGCCCUCUGCAAGACUUCGGUAGCACUGGACUUCCCUCAUUCCUGGUAGGCAGAGGUUGUUAGCCAUCAGCCUGGAAGAUCUGAAGGAAAAUUUGGCUUUGGGUAAAGUCAAAGGGGAUGGCUCUCAGAGAUAAGGCCAGUUCAUGAGAAGUAAGCAGGGCUUUGCUACCUGUGCAGGGCAGAGCUGCCCUGGGCUGGGGGGAGUUCUGAUGUCAACAUCUCUGGAGGCAGAUGACAACUUCAGAAGAGGCAAAAUUUCCCCAGGAGAAAAGAAAACAGGAGGUCUUCAGUCAACAUGGAGUUUGAAGCCGCCCAUGGCUGAAGCUCAGAAUACUCUGGAGAGCUGAGAGUCCUUCUUCAGCGGCUGGGCCGUUCUGCAGCAGCUGCAGCCGCCUCUGGGCCUGGGCGUCCCGGUGGGCAGGCGUGCGUAGGUGUUGCAGCAAGGCUAGGCGGGAGGGCGUGUCCCAGGCGCACAACAGGCAGUGGUAAAGCCCGGGCUCCGGCCCUGCCUCUGCUCCCUCCAUUUCCAGCAGAAACUAGAAGCAUGGAAGAGGCCAGCUCAGAUGUAGAAGGCACACCUCCAGACCUCUGGGGGCUGUUCCUCCUCGCUUAGACUCUUUCAUGCCUGGGUGGCCUCCCUCCACCCUGCUAUGGCUUCCCAUCUGCUUCUCCUCUCCAUUUCCUUCUUUCUCCCAUCAGUCCUGGGUCCCCCAGUGUGUGGCUGGGAGUUGCUUCUGUCCUGGAUACCAUGAUGGCUGGACUGAGAUGGCCUCAUCCCUAUAGCAUGCUAGAACAGCUAAAUCAAGUCUGUUUCUCCUCCUCGGAGCCCACUGCCCUUUGGCCUCUCUCCAGGUCUGCCCAGCACUCUGCUACCCUGUUCUUCAUGUCCAUCACCACAGGUUUCUCCUCCACCUCUCUGCGCUGCGUCUCCCACCCUACCCUGUCCCUCCUCCCUCUCCCGCCCCCUCCUGCCUGAACGUCACCUUAUAGAUCUGGCUGUUUUCUUCGUGGGCUGAACCCCGGGUGUGCAGCUGCAUCUUCUCCUUGCUGUUGGACUCGAAGUCACAGAUGUUGCAGCGCAGGUGAAGUGGGGAGAUGGAGCCGUAAGAAGCCCCAUCCCCCAGGGCCAGUAGGGAAGGGGUGCCCAUGGCUCCGCCCCCCUCCCGGAGGUGGGCUGCUAGCUGGUAUUUCUGAGUGUGUUUGUCGGUCUUGAGGUGGAGCUGGAAGUUGGCCUUGAGCUGGGUGCCAUAGCAGCAGAGCUUGCAGCGGUGGGUAUCCCCAGCUACCUCCUUCCAUUCGGCCUCCGGCAGGCUCCGGCCAAUGCUGCAGUGGUACAGCAGCAGCUCCAGGCUGUCUGUGCUGAAAGCCUGGCACACCAGGCAGCGGAACACCUUCAGGGCUGGGCUGUCAUCUGGGGAUGGCGAAGUGGGCAGCCCAUCAGAUGAGGAGCCCAGGAGCUGACUUGGUGGCAGAUGGGUCUCAGGGGAGAGGCUGCCAGGGGCUGGGGGGGACAGAGACAGAUUAGGAAGAAAUGAGCGGGGCACUUAGGAUAAGCUGUGUUUACCUAAGUGGGGAGAUGACCUUUGGGAGAAGGCAGGGAAUACAAUUGGACUUGGGUACGAAGUGGCAGGAGCAGAGAGGGGACUUACCAGCUGUGGGGAACUUGCGGGCAGGCGCUCCAAGGUGGUGGAAACCAUUUAGGAGUAGCUGGGCUUCAAGGGGCUUGUCUGGCCUCAGCCCGGGCCCAGGCAUGGGUGUCUGAGGCUGUCCUAGGGCCUGGGGCCCAAAGUACUGGAAGAGUUCAGGAGGGUUGGUGGGGGCAGCCCCUGGUGGGGGAGGAGGUCCUGGCCCCACCAGCCCUGGUGGCAGGCCAAGUGGCAGCCCCUGGUGCAACAUCAGGACGUUCUGCAUGUGUUUCUCAGAAGUCAUGUGGAUGCGCAGGUUUCGGGAGAUGUUGGUUUCGUAGCUGCACACUUUGCACUGCCAGGAUGACUUGGUCUUGGGCUCUUUAUCCCCGACAGAGGUGGGUGGGAGGGAUGCCUCCGGGGGACUCGCCUGCCCGCCAGGCCCUGCCUGGAAGCCCUGCAGGUUGGCCAGGUGCUUGUCGGACUGCAUGUGGAUGCUGAGGUUGCCUUUGGUGGUGGUGGAGUAGUUGCAGACAUCGCAGCGGUAGGGCUUGUAGCCGCAGUUGUAGCUCUCUCCGCGGGCCAGGCGGGGGUGGGCGCCCCCGGCGCUACAGUAGCUGCAGUGGCUGUUGCUCUCGGGGUGCUUCUCCCGCAUGUGCACGUCCAGGGUCUGCUGGUACUUGUAGUGCCAGUUGCACUUGGGACACUUGAGAGUCUUGCAGGAAUUGCGUGAGUGUAGCAGGGACAUGUGACUGGACAGGCUGAGGCCCUGGAAGGCGGCAGGGGCUGGAGUGUAGUCAUCGGCCAGGCGACAGGACGGAGGUGGGUCACUGGUAUCUUCGGGAGAGCCUGCUGGAGCUGGGAGCACGGCCACCUCCUUAGAGGUGGGUGAGCUUUGGUUGAGCGGGAGGCAGAGCCCUCCAUCCUCUUCCUGCCCCUCAGGGAACCAGUCUGGCCCCGCCUCGCCUCUUGGUACUGGCGAAUCUUUGGCUUGGGUUGGGCUGGGGUCCCAGGUGGCUAGGGCUGUGGGUGGGGAUGGUGGGCUGAGGGCUAUAACCUCUUCAGCGGGGAGAACAAGGGCUUGACCAUCUGCCUCUGGGGGGCCGUCCUCAGCCUGGGCUCCAUUUGUCUUCACAGUCACUGUGCUGGUGUCCGGUACUUCGGGAGAAGGACGGGCAGCCAGAGACGGCGCUGAGGUAUCGUGGGACAACAUUUGGUCAGAAGAGCUAAAGCCUUGGAUUGGGUCGAAGCCAUGUUGGAUGUGAAGGGUGGUAAGGUGUGAGGAGGGGAAGUGGGUGAGGAGGGGCAGGCUGGGCUCUUCCUUGGCGCUUGCCUCAUCCCAGGGGAAGCCCUUUGGUAACGAGAGUUCACUGCCCCUAGGCAGGGGCAGGUUGGCCAGUAGGUAGGCCUGGCCUCCAGCUGCGAAGAAUAAGUGGCUGCUGAGGUCCAAAGGAAGGAUCUCUUCCUCCUCCUUUGCCACCCCAAGGUCCUUUGGUGGGAUGUGGCCACAGCCAGGCUCUUCUUGGGGCUCUCCAAUCUCCUUUGGUGGGUCAAGGUCACUGCCUGACUCCAGACGCUCUCCCCCCGGCUCUGAGGACCUUAUGCUCUCAGAGGUGGAGGGGGCAUCAGGGGGAUCUUUGGUGACAGGAUCAGAGGUGCUGGAGGAGGAGGUCUCUGGAGGUGGUGACCGAACAUUGUGCCCAGGGGAAGGAACGGUUCCGGAGGGAGAGGCUGAGUUAAGGGUAGCCAUGGUAGACGGAGGACUGCUGAGGGUUCAUUUCAGCGUGACAGCCAGUACCCUGCAUGGAGGCAUGGGGAGAGCAGUGCCGUAAGAUCUCGGGGUCCCCAGCAAGGCUGAAUGUCUGGACUCUUUAGCCCUACUAUGCUCAGACUCAGGUGCCCCCAUGCCAACUUGAAGCUCUACUUAGUGUGUCUAAAACCAGAGUUCACGAUCGCUUUCCAAACCAGCUCUUCUCCAUCUUGCAAUCUCAAAUGUGGUACCACUCAACCCUCGGCUUAUAUGUCUAUGCUAUGCCCUGUAGCUUCCAUUCCAUAACCAGUUCCAGGAUGCAUCAGACCCUACACUCACAUCUUCCUCACCAGCAGCACCCUGGUCGGACCCACUGGUAUCUUUUUGAGCUGAUGCACCAGAUGGGAUACUCUUUUCCUUCCCACCUCUGCCCUCUCCAAGCUGACAGCCAAAACAACCCCUUCAUGUUCAACUACAGAAAAUGCCCAACAUGUGUAGGGAGAACCUCUGUCUGCUGCCCGCUGUCAGUGGCAAUCAGCGCAUGGGCGGUCUCGUCUUCGUUUGUGCCCUCACCAAAACUGCUUUACUCCCCGCGGUGUUUUAAUUUUAGGUUAGAAUUAAAUAUAAAUUUUAGGUUACAAUUUUCCUUUCUUUUUUAAGACGGGCUCUCGAGUAACCCAGCCUAACUCUGAACUUCGGAUGCUCUUACCUCCACAUCUGCUGUUUAGGGAGUUCUGGGGAUUGAACCCAGGGCUUUGUGUCUCCUAGCUAUGGCCUUACCUCUCCCUCAUGGCUGUCUUAAAAAAUUACUUGUGUGUAUAUAUAUGUGUAUGCCAUGGCACACACGUGGAGACCAGAGAACAACUUGUGGGGGUCAGUUCUCUCCUUUUACCAUGUGGGUCCCGGGGAUGGAGCUUAGGUUGUCAUGGCUUGGCAGCAAGCACCUUAUCACUGUGCCAUCUUGUUAACCCUCAUAAUUGUCUCUAAACAUGCAGCCCAUAUUACAGUCUACUUAAAAGCCCAGUAGUGCUUUCUCAUCACAUGCAAUAAAAUCGAGACUCCUUUCCCUGAUCUGCAAAGGCCUGUAGCUCCCAGAACGUCUGCUUUUUUCUCCCAGUUUUAACCCACUGGCAGCUAGCCAGCCUUCCCGCCUCUGUCUUUCUGCCCACAACACCCUUUCGCUCUUUUUCUUGGUCCUUCCUGUCUCUCACACAAGCCAACUUCAUCCCUUGGUCCUUGCCCAAGUGUUCAGCCUGCUGGGGAAUCCCUGACAUUCCCGUCACCCCCCAGACCACCUGCUCAGACUUCUCACUGGCUAGUGAAAGAUUUUUUUUCUGGCUAAUUCUUCUAAGAGAGCCUGUCUGUUUUCUUAGCUCUCUACGAUUACACAGACAUUCCAGUUCACACAUAACCCAGGCUAUAGCCUUAAGUUCAGCUAGUUGAGAGUAACCCUGAAUCCUCCUGCCUCUACUCUCCAAGGUAUGUGCUGUCAUGCUAAUGAAUGAGUCCUGGGGAAGAUCCCCAGGUCCAGCCCCUCCGCAAAGUCUUUUUGCUUUUCUUGGCACGAACCUUUCUCCACUGUAUUCCAGAUCCAGACUAGUAGGGACGUGCCAAGUUUAAGGAAGUUCUUUGGCUAGUUGGAAGACAGUAGCUCGCUCCUUUGUAGCCCUCUCUACUCUCCAAAUUGAAGAUACAAAUAUUAGUAACAAGUCCUAGUAAUAAUGGUACUAGCAGCUGUUCAAGUAUUUAUAGCGUGGUCUUGGCACCAGCUAAAGGACUUAUCAGGGUCUCACUGCAUUGCACAGCAUUCUCAAAGGUUACUGAUAGUAACUGGGCUCCAAAAUGGGGGAACAGCUUAGCACACAGUAGGGCUGCUUAGCAUGCAAGCAGUCCUGGGCUCAGUUCCCAGCUCUGCAUCAGUUGGGGGCUGGGGGUAGGUUCAUGCUUGUAAUUCCAGUACUCGGGCAGUAGAGGCAGGAGGAUCAGAAGUCCUGCCUACACAGCAAGUUCAAGACUAGCCUAGGAUACAUGAGACCCUGUAGAGUUAGAGGGGGUUAGGAGCGGGGAGGGAGGUUGGUUUGUGUGUGGGAGGAGCUGUCAGGCCUUCUUCAAAAUUAUCAGUUCCCCAUGAAUCCAUCUAACUCCUCUUUCUCUCUGAAUCAACAACAAUCUCUAAUGAUAAACUGUCUAACAUUCAGGCCACACUGGUUCAGAGAAAGGGCGAGGGGGUGGCCUCUUACUCCUUGGGCCGUCCUUAACCCUCAUCUCCAGAGUCCCAGAUUUGAUAUGGGUCCUUGGUCCAGGAGCCUGGUUGCUUUCCCACUUCCCUCUUCCCUCCUGCCCCUGGGAAUCCAGCUUGGCCUGAGUCAGAACCUUCAAGAACCUUGAGGGGCAGAACUAGCAUGCUAAUGAGAUGCAAAUAAGUACCUGGAAAUCAAAGGAAAAUGACGAAUCUGGGUGGGGCUGGGGGUGGAGCCCUAGCAUUGAUGGAGAAAGGCAUUCCUUCUGAGGAUCCUUGGUGGGACAGAGGAUGCUAAGUUUGUUGGUUUGUGAGGGUUCAGUCAUUUCCACAGGCUGGGCCCCACUAGAUAGGGAGAGCUGAGGGUUGACAUGGUGGGCCCUUUAACUCACCUGCCGGGGCAGCAGACGAGCCCCGCUUACAAGCAUUCAGCUCCCUCUUGGCUCUCCACUCACAGUGCUACAUCACAGCUCAGAGGCAGCCUGAAUAGGACCCGACCCUGGAGUAACUCCCAGAUUCCCGCUCUCUCUAAAGCUUAAUUCUCCUACUAGAAAAGGACUGCUGGGUUGCUAAGUAGAAACCAAAGGGGCUCAGCUUUUGGCCAGCUUGUGGGUGAGACCCGUAACACAGCCGGGUAGGUCAGCUGGUGGCUUAUUUAAAAUUGCAAAUCUCUUCCCUACCUCCCAGCCUAUCCCUCCUCUUCAGGAGAGAAUUUCCAUUGCAAAUUUAUCUCUCCCCUACCUAUUUCCCUCGUCCCUUUCUCCGAAGUUUCUCCCACCGCGCACUAGCGAUUAGACUUUUGUGGCCAGGGUGUUCCCCACUUUUAAUCCUUCUGCCUCCCGCUUCUGACUUCCCCCUCUGAAGCUCUAAGCCCCCUUUUUGUUUUGCCCUUCUUGCCUUGAACUGUUGAUGGCACGAAAGCCUCUAAAAAAUCGGGGCUCAUCUACCUGCUAUCCCUAGCCAAGAUUCUCAGUCACCCCUGUCCCACAGCCAUUUCUUCCUGUGGUUCCCAGCAUUUCUUAAGAGCAGCUCUCCCGUGGGCCUGGUCUCACAGGAGGGUAGAGGCAGAAGGCAGCCGCCACAGACCAUGACAUUACAGCUCAGAAGGAAUUGGAGCGAAGGCGGCUGGUGUUCUGGAGGUGGGGGACAGUAGAGGAAAGGGCUGGGCCUCCGCAGAGCAGGCAGUGGCAGCCGUGUGAUUAGAGCGGAGAUUGAUGUGAAGGGGCGCCACAGACCGCAGAGCGAGUCAAUAAAACCGGAGGAUCGCAUUAGAGGCGACAGGGAGAGCUUUAAAUUACAAGGCUGCUGCCACCACGGGGAAUGGAAGGAGGGAGCCCUGGAGCCUAGGGAGGGCGGAGAGUUCUGAGGGUGCAGUCGCCCCGAAAGAUGGAUGGAUCGACAGCUCUAAAGCGGCCCUCAGUCCUGGGAGCUCCCUCGUGGCCUUCCAUUCUUCCCUCCCGUCCCAGCUCCUCACUAGGGUGAGGUGGAGAGGAAGGGAUAAGGCAAGGCUGUGGAGAAACAGGCUUUUCGUUCUGGGAACUGUCUCCUUCCCCCUUCCGCCAGGUUUUCCUGUCUGCCUGUUACUCAAGAGAGGGAAGCCUGGGAGUGCUUUCAAGGCUCGACAGGAACUGCUGUCCCGCAAACAGAAGGCAGUCAUAAUUACUGACCUGAAGAGUAAGGCAUAUAUGUACACACACACACACACACACACAUAUAUCAGGAGGCAGAAACUGAAAGGCUUGAAUUUGAGGUUCAGCAUACAAGUGGAAGAUCUUUAAGGUAGUCUUUGAGACCCUGUAGGAUGGGAAACUGACAGACAACUAGAGAAGUCCUGGAGCCAGGGGGCAAGGGCAGAGCAUGGAAAUGGAGUUAGAGGCGCCACAGAAUUUGAAGCCACGGUGGCCCAGGGUGUUUCCCUCCAAGCCCCACCUGGAUCAGAUUAGGAGAAGCACCACUGCCCCCUGCUGGUCACAGAGGGAACACCACCAAGCCCCAGCUCUGCAAACCGAAUAAACAAAACCUGCCCCCCUCCAUUUCCUCAGGCCCAGUGAAGGGCAAAAGAUUUUGUGGCAACAGCUUGGGCACCAAGACUCUACCAGCCCUGAGCUUUACAUCUUCAAGUGUAAGAGACCAAAGUCAUGCUGGCCCGGGCCCUCACCAGCACUCAACCUUGCUUAUCCAGACUACUUCCUCACGUGGAAACCUGGGAGUAAUGGGGUGAGGGCCAUAAGGGCAAUCAAUAUACAGAGUGCAUGGCCUGGGUGUCAGUGAGGGCCAUGCUCUACCCCCUGCUUGGCCAUCCCCUCCCUCGGGGCAGAGCACAGUGUUUGGAAGGAGGCUGGCAUUCCUCCUGCUCCGCCUCUCAAUGGGGCCAGGUUCACACCUAGUCCUCCCACCAUUUACUGCUUUGCUUGGCGAUUAUCCCUCUUUGCCCCUCCUCUAAAGCCCAGGCUGGCAGUAGAUUACCCAUGAUCCUCCUGCCUCAGCUGAUAGGUCGAGAUUCCCUAGGAGGUUGGCAGAACUCAAGCCUUACUUACUUGGCCUUGGUUUAUUGUUCUGCUGCUGGCGAUUGAACCGGGGGUCUUGCAUAUGCUGGACGAGGCUUUACCUCUGAGCUCCUCACUCAGCUCUUGGCUGCUGGGUCUGGAGACACUCAUCACCUCAGAGCAAAAGGAGGAUGUUUCCCCGGCUCACACGCAGGCUAGGGAAGCAGCUAAUACUGAGCCCAAACUGGUAUGGCCUCCCCCUGCAGCAUUUACAUUCCCUUUGGAUCUGGAGUCACAGGCAGUUGUGAAUCACUAGACAUGGGUGCUGGGAACUGGGACCUCACAAGAGCAGUAAGUGAUCUCAACGGGCCGGGCAAUCCCAGCACUUGGGAGGCAGAGGCAGGUGGAUGUCUGAGUUCGAGGCCAACCUGGUCUACAAAGUGAGUUCCAGGACAGCCAAGGCUACACAGAGAAACCCUGUCUCGAAAAACCAAAAAAAAAAAAAAAAAAAAGUGAUCUCAAUGGCUGAGCCAUUUCCCCCGCCCCCCUUUUCCCCUUUGAGACUCGGUCUCAUAAUGUAGCCCUGGUAAGUCUAGAACUCUCUCUGAAGACCAGGUUUGUCUUUGAACUCAAAGUGAUCCUCCUGCCUCUGCAGCCCUAGUACUGGAAUUAAAGGUGUGUGCUACCAUAUCCAAACAGUCCUUUGAUCUUAUUUUUUUUUUUAAGAAAAUAUCGAUCUUCUAAAAAUAAUUUUUAUUUACUCUGUGUGUGUAUGCAGCACACAGGCACUCAUUGUGGGUCAACAGGCUUGGGCACAGGUCCUGUGCCUUUAUGGACCGAACCAUACUACUUUCUGGUCCCUCUAGUGCUUUGAGAUGGGAUCUGACGAAGCUGCUUAGGAUGGCCUUGAACUCUGGAGCCCAAGCAAACCAAAACACCUGUGCUACACCCACUUUAGCCUUCCAAGUGUCGAAGAUGACAGGCC
rnacentral:lncRNA from 1 species